GAAAUGUAACUAUUAAAAGAAAUAUCAGAUCUGUCAAAUGUUAAAAGAUCAUUCCUGUAAUGAUUGUGACAUUCCACAAAAAAUAGUUUUGAUCAUCUGCACUGUUCUAAAUAAGCUUCUUAGUCUUGUAAUACCUACAGACAGAAACUAACGAGGUUUAUUUAAGACGGCUCACAGAUUAGACACACCAGCUAUCCCACCACACUUCAUAAACGAAAAUACUCGCUUGUAAAUAUUACUUACAAGUUGCAAAGUGAAAUUACAAACGCCCACGUUAACUUUGAAUUAUUUAGAACCGUUUGACAAUCGUGCUUAAGAAUUCGUUAUUGAAUGUCUGGGUUUCCAACUUGGUACUUAUUUAUGGACGGCGGAAAGUUGGCCUGUUUCUACAAUCGAGGCUGCCUUGUCUGUGUCUUUGGAGGCGAAUAAGGUUGAAUUCGAGCGGUCCUCCGAGCCGAGAUUGGUCCUUCAGUUUGACUGAAAUAUGUGUAAUUCCAAACGGCAAACGAAAAUCUAAUUGAAUUCAUUGGUUGCGUAAACUUUAAUACAAUUUCGUUGGAGAAUCCCGUAAGAAGUUCCGUAGUUUUAUAUGACUAAUCUUUUGAUUCAUCAUUUUCACACGAAAACAGCG